ensembl:lncRNA
UUUUUUUUUUUUUUUUUCCUUUUUUCUUCUUUUUGAGAUAGGGUCUCACUCUGUCACCUGGGGUGGAGUGCAGUGGCAUGAUCUUAGCUCACUGUAGCCUCAAACUCCUGGGCUCAAGUGAUUAUCCCACCUAAGUUUCCCCAGUAGGUAGUACUACUAGUGUACUCCAUCAUGCACAGCUAAUUUUUUUUUCUUUUGGUAAAGACAGGGUCUCACUAUAUUGCCCAGGUUGGCGUCAAACCCCUGGUCCCAAGUGAUCCUCCCACUUUGGCUUCCCAACACUUUGGGAGGCCGAGGAGGGCAGAUCACCUGAAGUCGGGAAUUCGAGACCAGACUGACCAACAUGGAGAAACGCCAUCUCUACUAAAUAUACAAAAUUAGCUGGGCAUGGUGGCACAUGCCUGUAAUCCCAGCUACUUGGGAGGCUGGGGCAGGAGAAUUGCUUGAACCCAGAAGGCGGAGGUUGCAGUGAGCCGAGAUCGCACAAUUGCACUCCAGCCUGGGCAACAAGAGCGAAACUCUGUCUCCAAAAAAAAAUAUUAAUCAUGAAAUCUAUCUUCUCAAAGUUGUGAAUCACUCUUCUAUGACUCUAACAACUGUACUUUGUAAAAAAGUAAAGAAUGUCUGUAAAAUCAAAUUAAAAUCAUAAUCUCAAAAAUAAAAUUUCUUAUUCUAGUACAUAAGGAGUUUGGCGGAGGGAGGGCAGAAUAAUGUUCAAAUAUGCCAAUGACACUGAUUAUCUGCAGAUAAACAUGAUGAAACGAAAGUAUAAGGGCACUUAAAUAGAAAAAGCAAACUUCACAGAUUUGUAUGUGAAGCACAAAUCAGGUGAUCAUAGUAGACAGCAAGUAAAAGCCAGAAUUCCCGAAAGCAGGCUAUUGGGAGGCCUUUAAGAAAUGCAGCACGUAUGAGUGAAUGCUCUGUUAGCAUUCAGCACCAUUCCCACAUGGGCUGUAAGCCAUUCCGGGUGCUCCGCAGCCAUGGAUGGCAAGGGGCUACUGUAUUGGGCAGAGCAAGGCUGAGGGAAAACAAUACGGCUUACAGGCUCAUGAGGACGAGGUAAUUUUCUAAGAUCCAUUCCAGGCCCGAGGAAUCACAAAAUCUUAGGGUAUUAAAACAUCACUGGAGUCUUCAUUAACUCGUUUUAACUAAAUGUAUUUGAAUUUCAGAUUUCUAAGUAUGGAGAGUAUAAAUAGGAAGAAAAAAAAAAGCAGAAAUACAGGGGGGGGAAAUGAAUGAAGCAUUAGAUAAUUCCAGAAGAUUUUCCAGUUGGCCACAAAGACCUUUUUAAAAAUUAUUUUUAAUGUCCAAGCUGGGGGAAAAACCCUUCUAUUUAUGAAGAUCGACAGACUAGACUCACUUUAAAAAGGAGUGGAUCAUGAAGUCAGGAGAUCGAGGCCAUCCUGGCUAAGCUAAGCUACAGGCUGGGCAGGAGAAUGGCCUGAACUCGGGAGGCAGAGUUUGCAGUGAGCUGAGAUUGUGCCACUGCACUCCAGCCUGGGUGACAGAGCAAGACUCCAUCAAAAUAAAAUAAAAUUAAAAUUAAAAUUAAAGUAAAAUAAAAUAAAAUAAAAUAAAGGAGUGGAAUCAUAAGUAUUAACACCAGGGAUUGUUAGUAUCUAUCACAACUACCUCUAAUAGUAGCUUUGAAAGAGGAAACAUUCACUUUUAUUUGAAAUGGUGGGGGGAGCACUUUUUCUUCACACACUCGAUACUGAUUUGAAGCCCUAAUAGAAGAAUCAUAGAAUGACCUCAAAGUUCAACUAGUCUAAGCUUCUAGGACAGGCAGAAAUGGCAGUCACAUUAGCCCUGCUUAAACUCACCCCUUUGCAGAAGAACUGGUCAUUGAUUUUAGACUGUUGGGUUUUCCGAUAAUGAAAAAUCUUCCUUGGCACUGAUUAAUCUGGAAUUCAGCUUCCUACAGCUUUUAUCCACUUGUCUCAUCUCUGCCUUCUGAGGACAAAGACAGGAUCAAUGGACUUAAUUUUCCUAUAUAACUUGGAAACUUCUUGUAUCAA